GACGAACGCUGGCGGCGUGCUUAACACAUGCAAGUCGAACGGAAAGGCCCUGCUUGCAGGGUGCUCAAGUGGCGAACGGGUGAGUAACACGUGGGUGAUCUGCCCCUUACUUUGGGAUAAGCCUGGGAAACUGGGUCUAAUACUGGAUAGGACCAUGCUGUAGGUGGUGUGGUGGAAAGAUUAGUUUCGGUAAGGGAUGAGCUCGCGGCCUAUCAGCUUGUUGGUGGGGUAAUGGCCUACCAAGGCGUCGACGGGUAGCCGGCCUGAGAGGGUGGACGGCCACAUUGGGACUGAGAGACGGCCCAGACGCCUACGGGAGGCAGCAGUGGGGAAUAGUGCACAAUGGGGGCAAGACUGAUGCAGCGACGCCGCGUGGGGGAUGACGGCCUUCGGGUUGUAAACUCCUUUCAGCCAUGACGAAGCCCUUGUGGUGACGGUAGUGGUAGAAGAAGCACCGGCUAACUACGUG
rnacentral:rRNA from 1 species